GCAGAGCUGGUGAGUGGGGACAAGACCCCCGGGCAGUCAGAGCUCCUGCUGCUCCAAGUUGAGGGUUAGAGCUAAAUUUAAGGCAUAGGUAUAUGAUUCAUCUCUUUAUAAGACAAAGGAAAGAACAUGAAAAAAAGUUAAAAUGGCAGCAGCAGGAGCUCUGACUGCCCGUGGGUUCUGUCCCCAUGCACCAGCUCUGCCUGCCCAUGGGUCCUGUCCCCAUGCCAGCGGGGGCAGCAGCAGCAGCUCUGCCUGCCCAUGGGCUCUGUCCCCAUGCCAGCGGGGGCAGCAGAAGCGGCGGCAGCAGAAGCUCUGACUGCCCAUGGGUCCUGUCCCCAUGCUAUUCCACACUAUUUUCUAAAUAAAAGAGCACUACUGCCAGAUCUUGAGAGUCUAAGAAAUCUUUCUUUCGACUCCUCGGCUCACCGACCCCGCAUCAUUUCUGGUGGCCCGUACGGGGAAUUGCUUCAUCGGCUUGUGAGCUCGAGUUCUGGUAAGUGCCCUUUUCUUCCUUAUGCCUUUCUCUUUUUCAAGGAUGGAUCUAGAUUCACUGCUCCAUCGGGAACUUUCUCGGACAGCUGUAUGAAUCCACGUUUGCUGCCCAUGGCUACUCUAUGGGGCAAAUUGUGGCAUUCAGCUUGAAGAGAUUCAGUACCUUAAGCCUCAGGGUGAUGGAGAAUGAAUUAAUCCAUUCCUUCCUGACUUUAUCUCUAAUAGACAAAUUUUGCGUGGGCGCGGGUCGGCCACUUAAGUCAUUAGGACAGCCGCCAAUCUCCAAGACUCCCGUGGAAGGUUUCUUUUCCUAAGGCUGGAUUGGGAUCCCUCCCUCUGGCACCUGACCAUGCUCUGAACUGCGAGGAAAGUCCCACUCGGGACUCCAGUUCAAGGAAAGUACCAAACUCUAACCUUUGGUGGAGUAUGGGAACCCCUUCUUGGGAGAAUGGCUCCAGGCUGCAAUUGGGUAGAAUGUCCCCCAGACUGGCGGAAAAUUCCUCACUGUCUUUCUCUUUCUCACUGUCUUUGUCCUUUUCUCUCCUGGGGACCAUACGCCAGGCACCUAUUCCUGCCAGGCAGAAUAGGGAAGAUGUUCAAGGGAUGCCCCAUCCCUUGCUACAGGAACUCCAUUGGGGGGAUUUUCAAGGUAAUGGCUCCCUUUCUCUGGGACCAUACGCCAGGCACCUAUUACUGUCAGGCAGAAUAGAGAAGAUGUUCAAGGGAUGCCCCCAUCAUCCCUUGCAACAGGAACCCCAAUGGGGGGAUUUUCAAGGUAAUGGCCCCUUUUCUUUCUCCUUUUCUCUCAGGAACCAUUCACCAGGCCUAUGCUGUCAGGCAGAAUAGGCACCAGGCACCUGUUACUGCCAGGCAUAACAGGGAAGGUAUACAAGGGAUGCAAUGCCGGGGGACGCCCCCAUCACCCCUUGCUAUAGGAACCCCACAGUAGGAACGACGGGUAGGACGCUGCCCUAGGUUCAGGGGGGAUUUUUCAUGGUAAUGGACCCGUUUCUUUUGUCUCUCUUAAGAGUUACAAUGGCCAUUUUCGUCUCCAUUUGAGCUUUGCAAUUGGGAAAGAAAUCUUUAAAGAGUAAAAGGCUCCACCGCUGGGAGCCCCAACUUUGGGUUUCUGGGCCUGAUCACCCCAGCAACCCUAAGUGGGGGUGCCCUCUCUUGACGGUUGACUCAUUGAGUAUUUUAGUCACCUACUGAGUCGGUUAUGAGGGUAGGAGACCUGUGAUUCAUUCUGUGAACUGUCGUGCUAGGGUAGUGUGCCGCAGCAUAGGAACUGUUGUGUGACUCUUAUCUUGAUAACCCUCUGGAAGAGGCCAGGAGGGCGAGGUUUGAGCUCUUCUUUUCCUUUCUUUGUCUGUCUUAUUCAUCAUCUCCUUUGUUGUCACCAAGUCGAGGUUAAAGUUCAGGCUGGACCUGAGCAGAACCUUGACCUUCUGUAAAAUUGGAAAAAUAAGCCUUUUGCCAGGGAUUUAACUCUCAAACCUGGCUCUAGGAGCCCCAGCCUCCAGCCAGUUCCAGGCCUUUGCCUCUUGCUUCCCUACCUCAACUGUGCUGGCUCGGAGACAAAGUGCCCAGGCUGAGCGGGACUUGACUAAAUCUUAUAGCUAUGUCAACAUCCGCAAUCGGCCUCUGCAGCCUUUCUCCAUCUGCUGUCAGUCAGACACUGGCUUUACUGCCACAGGGAAGGCCCCUAAGCAUCCCCGGAGGCCCACCCUGCGGAUGCAUUCUAACUCCAUCUGGGAGAAAACUUGAGGGGUUUCUCUGUGCUUUUGUGAUGCAGCUGGACAGGUAGAUCAAACUGGAAUGUAAUUUGCGUUACGAUCCAGUUUGUGGGAAAUCAAGAGCAACUGUCUUUAGAAAAUCCUUGCAAGAAUGGAAAUACAGCUCUAGAGGCAGUUCAGACUCCACCUAGUUCCUUUAUCACGAAAAGGAUUAUCAUCUCCCCUCUCCAGGAACUACUAUCUAAGCCCAUCACUAAUUCCUAAGACUGAAGCAAAAAAAAAAAAAAANNNNNNNNNNNNNNNNNNNNGUUAGUUUUAAACUACAGAUGAGAUUCAGGCUCCAAGGAGUGGAAUUUGUUUGCCCCUUUGUUGGGAAACAUUUACAUUUCUAAGGGAAACCUCUAUCUGUGAAGAUGCCUCCCUCUCUGUGCCAGGAAGAGGGGGGGGAUGGUCUUAUCUCUAGAGGCUCUUGGUCAAUGCCAGAGGCAAGAACUUAAGUUGGUUGCUGUCUGGCAAUCUCAUGUAACUGGUUUAGGGUGGUGGCGUCUAACCUUUCUAACCUUUACUUAAUCCGAUUUGAUUCUUGUCUAAAAGUCAUGGGAUCACCCAAUGACCAGACCCCACCCGCACUGAUACCAUUUUAACUUUUUUUCAUGUUCUUUCCUUUGUCUUGUAAAGAGAUGAAUCAUAUACCUAUGCCUUAUAAAAUUAGCCCUAACCCUCAACUCGGGGCAGCAGCAGGAGCUCUGACUGCCCGUGGGUUCUGUCCCCACGCACCAGCUCUGCCUGCCCAUGGGUCCUGUCCCCAUGCCAGCGGGGGCAGCAGCAGCAGCUCUGCCUGCCCAUGGGCUCUGUCCCCAUGCCAGCGGGGGCAGCAGAAGCGGCGGCAGCAGAAGCUCUGACUGCCCAUGGGUCCUGUCCCCAUGCUAUUCCACACUAUUUUCUAAAUAAAAGAGCACUACUGCCAAAAAAAAAAAAAAAGAGAAAAGGUAGAAGAAAAUAAUUCUAGCAACAUAACGAAUCCAUAAGCAGGUGGAGCGGACACUUUCAGAAAAACAUAAUGGCACACUAAAACGUUUUGAAUAAAUUUGAACCUAGCCGACAUGAGUAACUUUGUAUAUAUUACCAAAAUUGAUUUAAGCUGGUAUAACUGAUAACCACCAAAUAAAAUAAAACAGUAAUUUAGAGUAUUCCCCUUCAAUAUAAAGGGGAACCACAAUUUGAUCCAUAAGUAAACUGAAUCUAUGAAAUGGCAAAACAGUUCAUGUAAGGAACAUUACUAAAAUUAGAAUACAAACUUAGCUUUUGUAUCAAUAAAUAAU
ensembl:lncRNA